GCUUCUUUUGAUAUCCAGGUGAAAGAACUGGAGAAGGGUGCUUCAGGCCAGGCUUUUGAACUAAUUCUCAGCCCUCAGUCAAAGGAAUCAAUUCUAUAAUUCCCUUUCCCCUCUCCACAGAAGAAGGAAAAUUUCCUUAGAGGAAACUCAGAAGAUAUGAGAAGCUGCAAAAGAAAGGCACAAGUCCUACUAAGCUGAGAUCUUGAAGCAGCUUGCAAAGGAUGGAGAAAUAAGUGGUUUAGAAAGCAAUAGAAGAGAAUACUAACUUCAGCAAAAUGGCAAAAAGAACCUCACCCACAAAAUGAAAGCUAAUGAAGAGAAUAGAGAGGCACAAAUGGCUGUCAAACUGGAGUGUUUGCCAGAGAAGGAUAAGCACACUGAACAGGUGCAGAAGAACAAAGAAUCCAGAGGUCCUGUUGAUGAGACUGAAGCUGACUAA
rnacentral:lncRNA from 1 species